UGCACCGGCAGCAUAUGGAGGUUCCCAGGCUAAGGGGUGAACCUGAGCUGUAGCCAUUGGCCUAUGUCAGAGCCCCAGCAAUGCAGGAUCUGAGCCAUGUCUGCAACCUCCACCACAGCUCACGGCAACGCCAGAUCCUUAACCCAUUGAGUGAGGUCAGGGCUCCAACCCAUGUCCUCGUGGAUGCUAGUCGGGUUCAUUAACCACUGAGCCACGACAAGAACUCUGGAAAUAUUUAAUACUAUAAGAAAUUUUCUUUGAAAUAUUAUAUAAACAUGGGCAAAAAAGUUAGAGCUUUGCUUUCAUAUAAGAUGUGAAUAAUAAGCAAAAGUGUGGAAAGAAAGGGAAGGCAAGUUAGGGUAGUCUACAUCCAAAACUCAUAGGGUAGCAGGUCAUUGUCCUAAAGAAUGGUAUCUCUUACCAUUCUGUCCAAUAGGGACAAAUAUUAGGAGCCCUCAUAGCAUGACUGUGGGAAGAUAACUCUAGAUUGGUGAUUUAUUUUUUGUCCUUUUUUUUGGGGGGGGGGCUGCACCUGUGUCUUAUGGAGUUUCCCAAGCUAGAGGUCAAAUCAGAGCUGUAGCCACUGGCCUGUGCCACAGCCACCGCAAGGCUGGAUCCAAGCUGCAUCUGGACCUACACUGGAGCUCGUGGCAAUUCCCAAUCCUUAACUCACUGAGGGAGGCCAGGGAUUGAACCUGUGUCCUUAUGGAUACUACUCAUAUUCAUUUCUGCUGAGCCAUGACGGGAACUCCAAGAUUGGUGAUUUUUAAUCCAGAGUGUACAAUGGGUUUACGCGGGAGUCUUUUUAAAAUACACAGGCCAAGGCUCCACUCUAGACCUACUGAGUCCAAGGCAGGUGCAUUCUGAAAGGACCCCAGGGAUUUCUGAUGUUCAUAUGUAGGUAAAAGUCACCAUCCUACAUGGGAGUGAGGAUUGCUCAGCCCCCAGAACAUGGCCUCAUUCUAGAUUUAGUCUACUUCAAAAAAUGUCACGAUAUAGACAAAAUACUCCUGAAGUUCCUUCAUCCAUGAGAAAGAUGCAACUUUUCACCUGUGCUAGAAAAGCUUCAAGGUGGGCAACAGAUUGAUAAGGGUUUUCCACUUCUCCCCUGGGGCAUAGAAGAAAUCCCAGGAGUGACUCUGCUAGGUUUUAGCUAUCAUUUUUAAGAAUUUCAGUUUAUGACCCUCAAAGUUUUUAGUUACACCAUGGCUAAAGGGGUGGGACACUCAGAUAAAACACAUCACACAAUUUCACAAACUGAAUUUGGAGUAAGUGGAUUUUGUUAAUUAUAGCAGCCCUUUGGAUAUAUAAUGAAACUGUAAUAACUAUACAAAAGUAUAUAGCAGCACAAUUUGCAAUUUAGGAAUAUUGGAUAUCACAUGGAAAAUUUGAUUUAAAAACGGUAAAAUAUUUAAAUGAUGUGUUGAUUCUGCCCGAUUCUUAGCUACGCUUUCCCCUUUUCAAAUAAGGUUGGAACCUGAUAUGAGUAGACAUAAACACUCAGCUGCACAUGCCCUCAUCUCUCUCUUCCUUCCUCACUUACAUUCCCUAUGUAUCACCUUCAAAUGCAAAGGGCUACUACUGUGACCUUGGGAGUGACUGGCAAAAAUGUGUGUGUGUGUGUGUAUGUGUGUGUGUGUGUGUGUCUGCACGUGCACAUGUACAUACAUGUGUGUGCACAGUAGGGCAUAUUUUCCUUUUCGAUGAAGGAGAGCUGCAGUUCCAGUAAUCAUAGGUGGGAUGAACUGCUUAGAAUAUAUUAUAUACACACACAGAGGCAAGUCGCUUCUAACAUGUUGCUGCUUUUGCUGAUCCAUCAAAUGUUCUAAGAUUUUUGCAAAUGUAGUCAAUAUCAGUAAUAUAUUAACCAUGCUUCAUUCACAAACUGUUUAAUUAUUUCCUCACUGGUAAAGAAGAAUGGAAAAUAUGUAUAAUGUAAGCAUCACUAAGAAAUGAUAUACAAGGAAUUGGGAGAGCAGAUAAAGGAUAGACACUGCCUCAUCCAGGGAAUCAGAGUACUUCAUCUGAGAGAGGAAUGUUCCAUUUUUUUGGUUGGAUGCAAAUGUCAGGAAUAGAAAGUCAAAACAGAUCUUUCAACUUUUUUGAAAUAUCCUAUUUCUGCUCCAGCAUCCCAUCCACAAGAACUACUGCUCUAAGGAAUCCAACCCCUCCCAGUUAUUUGUUCUUACAUAUACAAUUGUUCAAGUCAUUAAAUGAUACUUCUCUGCCUUAUUUCAGCUCCUUAGCAUAACCUGCUUUCUCUAAGCCCAGACUUUUAUAUACGUGCUUCACCUUUUCACAACCAAUUCAUUUGCUAUACAGAUAUUUACUAAAUACAACAGCCUUCUGAAUCCAAGGGUUCUGUGGAUCCAACUAAUCGCAGAUAGCAUAGUAUGCUUAUAAUUCUCAGUUGGUUGAAUCUCUGGAUGCAGAAUCUGCCCAUGUAGAACCCGUGGGUCUGGGGGUGACUAAGGGACUUGAACGUCUGUGGAGUUUGGUAUCCACAGUGCUUCUUGGAACCAAUCUGCCAUGGAUACCGAGGGUCACAUGUACCUAUUAUGUGACAGGCAUAUUGCUAGGCACUCGAAUAUGUCAGUGUAAAAAAGAGGGGCACUCCUGCCAUCAUGGGCGUAUUACUUCAGGAUUUCUCAACCUUGGCACAGCGGGCAUUUUAACCUAGAUAACUCUUUAUUGUAAGGUCCCAUACCUUGUGUUGUAGGAUGUUAAUAAGUAUCCAUCGGAUGCCAGUAGCACGCCCCCAGUGUGACAACUCAAUCUCUAUACAUUGUCAAUUGUCUCCAGGGAGGAACAAAAUCACCCUCAGCUGAGAAGCUCUGGGUUACUUAGUAGCGACCGUUACAGUGGUGAUUUAUAUUUAGUGUAGUAAUAAUUAGAAUACUGUCUUCUCACACAAGAUGAUACCUGUCUCCGUAGAACACACAGUAUCUUUUUCUUUUACCGUAUUUUUAGCUUCUUGGACAAUGAAUAGUAUACAGUAGGCAUUAAAUAAAUACUUGUCAAGGGACUGAAUGAUUAAACCAAUACUUGUACAUCUCUCUCAAAUCUGAGUUAGACAUUUUUGUUUCAUUAUCUUGUUCUGCAUACUUCAGCAUACUUAUUAUACUCUAUUAUAUGCCUACAAUUUUUGUCUGUCCCGUCUCUUUCUUAUUCAUGAAUGAUUGGCUGAAUGGCAAUACCAAUGAUUACUAAGCAUUCAGCAAGAGGUAGGCAUCAAGCUAGUUCAUUUGUGCUAUGCAUAUCCCCUUUUCACCUUUAUAAAAAAUUUGAAAAGAAAUGAUAUAAUCUCCAUUUUCACAGAACAGGAGCCAACUUGCCCUAGGUAUGAUGUAGUACAGUUAGACUCUGAACUUUCUAAGGCUUAUUCUAAAACCCAAAACUUUACCCUGCCUACACAGGUAGAAAUUUCUUGGUUUUGUCUAUGAGAAGUAGUGAGUGAGUUAAGAAAUGGCAAAUUAAGAACCCAAUAUUUUUCAUUAGGUAGGUAGAGGAAUAACAUUUAAAAUUAUUACUGGGAUGCAAUUAGCUUAAAAAAUAAACAAAUCAUUUUGUGGAUGAGAUGGGUUCCUGUUACCUAGGUUUUUUGGGGUGGCCAAAAUUUCAUUUGAAACCACAUAUAUAGGGCAUGAAUACUGACAAUGGAAUAUCAAUUUGGUCAAAAUUAUUUUUUUAGCCAAAUAUAUGUUUGUUUAGCUAAUAAUAUUUCUGCCAUGUAGCACUUUAUUGUGGAAUCAAUAGUAAGUUUUAAAUAUAAAAAUAGCUUUUAAAUCUUAAGACAUUUGUUUUUCAAAUUCUUUGACAGUUGUAGAUUUUAAGAAAUAACAUGGUUUUGGAAUACAAUGUUCAGUUAACCAUUUCACAAGUUCACAAUUAUACUCUACUUAUUAAUGUAUAAAUUGUUUUCUCAUUAUUUUGUCCACAAUUACAGUUUUCCUAGUGACAGAUUUUAUAAAUAUUUUAAUAUGCCUUCACCUUUCCUCUGGUCGCAGAUUAGACUAAUGAAUGUGUAGAUCAGACAGUUUUUAUGUUUUAUAAGAGAAGAAAAGACUUAAGAAAUAACACAGGAAUAUCUGUGUUUCUGUCUACAAGAAAGUUAUUGAAAGAUAGAAUUUAAAACACACUUGACUUUCUGAACAUUAGAAAAAAAUUAUCAUAGAACAGCAAUGACAAUGUUUCAAAUGUGGGCUUCUCCAUUUUUUACAGCAGACUAAUUUACUUCUUACAGAACCCUCACAGUUCUGGAAGGUAGGUUUGGUAACAAUUAUUAUUUUACAUUUUGUUGCUGAGAAAUCUGAGAUUUAUAUGAUUUGAAACACAUUUCUAAGUUCACUGAGAGGGUAAAUGGACUAACUUGAAGCAAUUCACAUCUGAAUGUUGGUUCCAACCUAACAUUUUACUGCUGCUUAGUCAAAGAGAUGAUUAUAUAGACGGUAACUAAGAAAAAUGGGAAGACUUAAGGGCUCUUAGGUUAACAUUCUAUCCAAGUUCCAGUCUUAAGAUGCCAUUGUACUUCUUUGGCAUUUAUUCAUAUUCUCUUUGCUUGAAAUCUAAGCAUUCAAUUCCAUGCCUGGUUUCAAAAUUACUAAAUAGUGUUUGUUCUGAAUGAUUCCAUGCUCUAAGUUUGACAAUUUCACUGGACAAAAAUCAAUGAUCUUAUUUAAAAAGAACUCAAGCUUCCCACCAGAAAUGCCUUUAUAGAACUAAAGUCCUUCUAACUUAAGCUCAUACCUACGGAAUAGUAUUUGUAUCUUCUAUAGAGAGGGUUUUUCACAUUAUGAUAGUAGAAUUUAUUGCAAUCUACCCAUUGCUCUGGUUUCAUCCACUUUUUAUUUAGUGAUUGUCUGCACAAAUUGUUUCAAUGUCUUCCUUUAUUUCUUUGCUGUUGUUGUUGUUGUUGUUGUCUUUCUGUCUUUUCUAGGGCUGCUCCCACUGCAUAUGGAGGUUCCCAGGCUAGGGGUCUAAUCAGAGCUGUAGCCACCAGCCUACACCAGAGCCGUAGCAACGUGGAAUCUGAGCCAUGUCUUUGACCUACACCACAGCUCACGGCAAUGCCAGAUCCUUAAUCCACUGAGUAAGGCCAAGGAUGGAACCUGAAACCUCAUGGUUCCUAGUAGGAUUUGUUUAUGCUGAGCCACGAUGGGAACUCCUCAAUGACUUUCAGAGCCUCAAGCAGUGGUUUUCAACUUGCAUAUGCUCAGAAUGCCAAAGAGUAAAUUUACCUUGAGGGUUGUCUCCCACUAGAAAGUGUGCCAGUACUGCCUGAUUACAAAUCAGGACUUAUAGAAGUUCCUGGUCUCAAACUUCCAAAGGGCUUUGAAUACCUUAUCACUCAUUUAGCAUCCUUGAAUUGGUUAACUUUUCAAGGAUCAAGGUCUGAAAACCUGUUAUAUUUCCUUUCAUCUUAACAAAAUUCAGUGUUAAUGAAUAUAGUUGAUGCUCAGUAAAUAUUUGUUAAGAAGAUUAGCCAAUUUGACCAUAAACUGAUUUAACCAAAAUGAGCUUAAACUAUCCCCACUUAAGAUCAGAACAAGAAUUAAAAUGAUCAAAGCACUGUAUUGUUUGCUACAAGUGGAGUUCAAUUUUAAUUCAAAUCAAUAAAACAAACCUAAUAAAUUCAGCUCAAUUUCACAGAGAUUGGAAUCCAAAUAAGUAUUUACCCAAAUAUACUACUUUCGGACAUAAGAGAAACAGUGAGAUGGAAAAUGAAAGAGUCUAGGACUCUCAAUACAUCCAGUUCCCCUGAAUGUGCCUGGCGGCAACAAUGGCAGGAUGGAAUUCCAUCCAGGGCAAUUCUAUUCAAGGAAGAGCUCCCCACUCAAAUCCCUUUAAUAGC
rnacentral:lncRNA from 1 species